UUUCCGUAGGUGAACCUGAGGAAGGAUCAUUAACGAGUUAGGGUCUUUUAGGCCCGACCUCCCAACCCUAUGUUUAUUGAACCUCUGUUGCUUCGGCGGACCCGUCUCACGGCCGCCGGAGGACCGCUGCAAGGCGUCCUCUGGCCAGCGUCCGCCGAUGGCCAACCCACUAAACUCUGAAUGAAUCGUGUCAUAUGUCUAAGUCUAUGAUUAAAUUAAAGCAAAACUUUCAACAACGGAUCUCUUGGUUCUG
rnacentral:misc_RNA from 1 species